rnacentral:misc_RNA from 1 species
CGCGCCCCCUUCGCGCUAACUCAAACUCAGUCUCCCUGAUCCCAACAAACUAGCAGAGCUACAAACCCCAAAACCCAAAAUUCCCAAACCCUAGACUCACGCAUCAAAAAAAUUGUUGUAAUUCUUACAAACACAGAAUCCAAAUGUACAUCAGAGCUAGAACAGCAUAGCGGAGUCUAGAAAAAAGAAAAAAAAAAAGGUGAAAAUUUUCCAGUAGCUGUAAAUUCUUGAGAGAGUGAGGAAAUUCCGGAGGAGAAAGCCCUCCUUAAAUGGCGUCGUCGAAGGUGAUGGCAUCGUCGAAACCGAAAAGUUCGGAUCUGACAUCAUCAUCAUCGUCAUCAGUAACUGCUCGAUCUCGACGCGCUUCUUCUUCUGCUUCUGCUGCUGCUGUUUCUGUUUCUGUUGCUGCUUCUUCUACAAAAUCACUUAAUGACUUUUCUUCUAUUCGUAGUCUGACGCCAUCGUCGUCAUCAUCGGCGACGUCUACAAUGACCGUCGACGGAAUCCUACGUAAUAAUGUCUAUUCCACUCCUUCCGCUGAGUCUACUCUCCUCGACGCCCAAAUUACUCUCUUUGACGCCCCUGCUCCUCUCCUCCCGGCAACACCACCACCACAACCGCCGGCGACGGCGGCAACAAUUGAGACAAACCAUACUAAUAGUAGCAAUAAUCAAGAAAUGAACAGUGUUCUUCCUCAGGCUAGUAAAACCGUGGACGAUGUAUGGAGGGAAAUUGUUGCAGGGAGAAAGGAGAUGAAGGAGGAGCCCGAUGAGAUGAUGACGUUGGAGGAUUUUCUGGCCAAGGCUGGGGCAGUGGACGUUGGGGAGGAGGAUGAUGAGAUCAAGAUGCCGCCUCCAGAGAGAUUGAGUGGGGGACUUUAUGCGUUUGAUCCGGUUCCACCCAGUGCUUUCCAGCUGUUGGAUAAAGUAGAGGGGUCGAUUGUUGGGUUUGGGAAUGGGAUGGAGCCUUCAUCUGCUGGAGGAGGGGGAAGAGGUGUAGGCAGGGGAAAAAGAGGGAGGACUACCGUAACGGAACCAUUAGACAAGGCAGCACAGCAAAGGCAGAGGAGGAUGAUCAAGAAUAGGGAGUCAGCUGCCAGGUCUAGAGAGAGGAAGCAGGCUUAUCAAGUGGAAUUGGAGUCCUUGGCAGUGAGGCUAGAGGAGGAGAAUGAGCGAUUGCUGAAUGAGAAGGAAGAGAGGACUAAAGAAAGGUUCAAGCAGCUUAUGGAGAAAGUGGUGCCUGUUGUUGAGAAGAGAAGACCACCCCGAAGGCUUCGGAGAGUUCAGUCCUUGCAGUGGUAAGAUUGUAUGUGCGCAGGGCGUGAGAUGAAAGACAAACCUUUUGCUGAUGUGGAGAGUAAAUCAAAAGCAGCAUUGUUGGUAAAUUUCAUUUUCUUUUAAAUUAGGUUUUUGAGCCCGAUUGUUGUCUAAGAGCAAUCGCAGUUCUUAAAUUAAUUGGGGAAAAAAAAAAAACAUGAAUCAUGGAAGGAAAAUCCCUUGUUUAACUGAAUUUAGGGAAGGAUCCAUCACAGGAAGAUGGAUGUUAGAAGGUAGUUAUCUAGUUUGCAGGUGUAGCAAUGCAAAACUUAGUGCCUNAACUUAGUGCCUCCCGAUUGCUUAAAGAAAAGGGAAAGAAAUUCAAAAUUCUGGACCGGCUCAAGUGUUGGCAACUUAUGAUAGCUCUUAAUACAAAAUAUAGAUUGUUGGAUGGUAACUAUUUAUGGUAAAGUUCAUGCUGCAUUAAUUUCCUGAAAAAAUNCGCUGAUGUGAACUGAAGCUGUCCUGUUGGAGCAUCUCUCUCUCUCUCUCUCUCUCAAUCCUGUGAUGAUGGCGAUAUCAUGAUGUAAGAAAUGGUCCUUUGGUAGCGCAUUGUAUAAAAAUUGCGUGCUGCGUAUUCUGCACGCUCAAGGGUAUUGUUAAAAAAAUGACACUGC